rnacentral:rRNA from 1 species
AUUGAACGCUGGCGGAAUGCUUUACACAUGCAAGUCGAACGGCAGCACGGACUUCGGUCUGGUGGCGAGUGGCGAACGGGUGAGUAAUGUAUCGGAACGUGCCCAGUCGUGGGGGAUAACGUAGUGAAAAUUACGCUAAUACCGCAUACGAUCUAUGGAUGAAAGCGGGGGAUCGCAGGACCUCGCGCGAUGUGAGCGGCCGAUAUCAGAUUAGGUAGUUGGUGGGGUAAAGGGCCACCAAGCCAACGAUCUGAAGCCGGUCUGAAAGGACGACCAGCCACACUGGAACUGAGACACGGUCCAGACUCCUACGGGAGGCAGCAGUGGGGAAUUUUGGACAAUGGGCGAAAGCCUGAUCCAGCCAUUCCGCGUGCAGGAUGAAGGCCCUCGGGUUGUAAACUGCUUUUGUACAGAACGAAAAGGUUUCUACUAAUACUAGGAGCUCAUGACGGUACUGUAAGAAUAAGCACCGGCUAACUACGUGCCAGCAGCCGCGGUAA